UUGCUAAUUGAUAUCUCAUGAUUUUCAUUGUUUUUAUCUUCUCAUUUUAGUUCAUAUAAGUCAUUUUAGAUUGCAUUUAUAUGUGUAUAGUGCACACAUUUGUCCAUUUGCAUAUACAGGGUUGGAUUGCACAUUUGAGAAGUUUGGGGCCAAAUCACAAAGUUAUUCUCGCAAAUCACAAAGUUUGUGGUCGAUAUGGAAACCAUCAAGAGUCAAGGGAUCAUUCUGCAAAUAUGCUGGGUCUAUUCUGCAAAUUAAAAGUUCAAGCCUUGAUUCGGGUGGACCUUGUUGUAACUUCAAUAGUUUUGGGGCCGUUAUUUAGAGAACAAGAAGUUCAGGGACCUGUUCAGCAAAAUUUGUAAACCAGCCAUUGUUGUUGUUCGAUCUUCUUCUCCGGUUAACGCCGACGACUCUGACGGCCACCACGACGGCUUGAAGCUCGACGAAAUGGAUAAAACGCAAGGAAGAGAAGCUUGAACCAGCGUUCUCAUGGUGAAUUGUCGCAGAUCUAAGCCAUGGCCGUGGAGGACCAUCACGAGGGAGACGACGAAGCUCCAGAGGUCGCAGAGGAUGAUAGCUCGAGAUUAGGAGACGGAACUGUUGCGGUGAGGAGCUUUGAUUCCUGCGGGUUGCGUGGAGGAGCUGAGCACCGGUGCUUCUGGCCGGAGCACAAGAUCAAACACCACCACGAGCGAAGUCUGAGACGAAGAAGGUGACAACUUUGCAGCGUUCGAUUCCAAAGCUUCAGAGCGGUUUGAUGUAAUGAGGGAAGGAGAUCGCUGGGAAGUGGGCGUAGUUCACAACGACCAAGGGCAGCGGGGACGAGACAUCGCUCGCAAAGACGGGGAACUCACCAGCGACUUGAUGGAGCGACUCGAACAUGUCGCUGUGGAGAGGACAAGAAACGUUAUUUUGAGUUUGACCCGGUUAAUUCUGGGUUGACCCGGUUUAAUGUGUCCAAACCAGCACGACCUCUACUUCUCUUUAAAUAGAUUUUGACCUAAAAAUAUCAGAUUUAUCUCAUUUUUCUCUCUAGACUUUGCUUCCAUUGUAAAAGCUUGAAUCUUUUUAUCAAUCUAAGAAGUACUUCAUCA